CGCUGAAACGCUGGUUUCUGUAUGAUCACCGAUGUUAAGCAAAGUCGAGCCUGGUCAGUACCUAGAUGGGUUACUUCUUGGGAAAAACUGGUACUGUAA